UAGUGCUGCAAUGUAAACGUUGCAGUUUCUCUAAAACUGCAAUGUUUUACAUUGCAGCACUA
rnacentral:miRNA from 1 species